rnacentral:ncRNA from 2 species
UAGACCCGAAACCAGGUGAUCUAGCCAUGCGCAGGAUGAAGGUGCGGUAACACGCACUGGAGGUCCGAACCAGUGCCCGUUGAAAAGGUCUUGGAUGACGUGUGGUUAGGGGUGAAAGGCCAAUCAAACCUGGACAUAGCUGGUUCUCCGCGAAAGCUAUUUAGGUAGCGCCUCGCGUGAAUGCCUUGCGGGGUAGAGCACUGGAUGGGCUAGGGCCGCCCACAGCGGUACCGCACUCAACCAAACUCCGAAUACGCAAGAGCACUGCGCGGGAGACACACGGCGGGUGCUAACGUCCGUCGUGAAGAGGGCAACAACCCUGACCGACAGCUAAGGCCCCCAAUUCGUGGCUAAGUGGGAAAGGAUGUGGGACUCCCAAAACAACCAGGAGGUUGGCUUAGAAGCAGCCAUCCUUUAAAGAAAGCGUAACAGCUCACUGGUCUAGCCAAGGGGUCCUGCGCCGAAAAUGUAACGGGGCUCAAGCCACGAGCCGAAGCUUCGGGUGCAUCUUAAGAUGCGCGGUAGCGGAGCGUUCCCUAGGCUGAUGAAGGGAGACCCGUGAGGGCCCCUGGAGGUAUGGGAAGUGCGAAUGCUGACAUGAGUAACGACAAAGAGUGUGAA